CUGUUCUGGUAAUUCAUGUAAGUAUUGUUCCCCUUGUGUUCAUUUGUCACCUUGUUCGGGCAGUUCAGGACAUAAUUUUAUCCAUUGAUUAAGUUGGCUGCUUGAAUGAAUGAUGUCUUUUGCAUUAUCUAUAGGCAUUCUUGUUUUAGAUUAUGAUUUUAUAGAUUCAAGGAUUGGCAAAUUUUUAAUAUUUGUAGUAUAGUCUUUAGGAGAUAUUGAUACACAAACGUUUUAAACUAUUGAAAAUGUGAAGAAUUUCUGGCUGGAGUCGCAACUUGAAACAAAUAUUGUGCUAUUCUAGCUAGGAUUCUAGGUGGACCUAUAUCUUGUGGUGAUACAAAUCAAUCUAGAUCUGCUUUGUUAUUCUGGGUAUAAUGAAAUGAUAAGUAAGUCUUCAAUGCGGGCAUUAUUGCAUGCAAUGAUACAAAUCUAAAAAGAUGUUUUAAUGGUAAAUUAACCAGGAUGCAUCUUUGGCAUGAAUAUAAAGUCACAACCCAAACUUUGUUAUUGUUGUUAUUGUUCACUUUACAUUUUUGGCAUUUUUAUAUUUUCUGAAAAUAUUCAUCUGAUCCAUUCCGCACAGAUUCCACCCUCAAAUGCUAAUUAUUUUGACAGUAUUGUUGAAGGGAACUAGGAUAAAAUCUCUAUGGCAUUAGUUGGUUAUAUUAGAGGUGAAAUUGUUAUUAUAUAUUUUCUUCUUUUCCAGGGAACAGCAGAUGAAGUU
rnacentral:misc_RNA from 1 species